GCCUUCGUGGUGUAAUGGUAAGCACACUCGGUGCGUAUUCGAGAAGUUCAAGGUUCGGGUCCUGGCGAUGUCA
rnacentral:tRNA from 1 species